rnacentral:rRNA from 1 species
GACGAACGCUGGCGGCGUGCUUAACACAUGCAAGUCGAACGGAAAGGCCCUGCUUUUGUGGGGUGCUCGAGUGGCGAACGGGUGAGUAACACGUGAGUAACCUGCCCUUGACUUUGGGAUAACUUCAGGAAACUGGGGCUAAUACCGGAUAGGAGCUCCUGCUGCAUGGUGGGGGUUGGAAAGUUUCGGCGGUAGGGGAUGGACUCGCGGCUUAUCAGCUUGUUGGUGGGGUAGUGGCUUACCAAGGCUUUGACGGGUAGCCGGCCUGAGAGGGUGACCGGCCACAUUGGGACUGAGAGACGGACCAGACUCCUACGGGAGGCAGCAGUGGGGAAUAUUGCACAAUGGGCGGAAGCCUGAUGCAGCAACGCCGCGUGCGGGAUGACGGCCUUCGGGUUGUAAACCGCUUUCGCCUGUGACGAAGCGUGUGUGACGGUAAUGGGUAAAGAAGCACCGGCUAACUACGUG